AACGCUGGCGGCGUGUUACACAUGCAAGUCGAACGCUGAAGCCCAGCUUGCUGGGUGGAUGAGUGGCGAACGGGUGAGUAACACGUGAGUAACCUGCCCCCUUCUUUGGGAUAACGCCCGGAAACGGGUGCUAAUACUGGAUAUUCACUGGCCUUCGCAUGGGGGUUGGUGGAAGGGUUUUUUCUGGUGGGGGAUGGGCUCGCGGCCUAUCAGCUUGUUGGUGGGGUGAUGGCCUACCAAGGCUUUGACGGGUAGCCGGCCUGAGAGGGUGACCGGUCACAUUGGGACUGAGAUACGGCCCAGACUCCUACGGGAGGCAGCAGUGGGGAAUAUUGCACAAUGGGCGAAAGCCUGAUGCAGCGACGCCGCGUGAGGGAUGACGGCCUUCGGGUUGUAAACCUCUUUCGCUCAUGGUCAAGCCGCAGCUUUGGGUUGUGGUGAGGGUAGUGGGUAAAGAAGCGCCGGCUAACUACGUGCCAGCAGCCGCGGUAAUACGUAGGGCGCGAGCGUUGUCCGGAAUUAUUGGGCGUAAAGGGCUUGUAGGCGGUUGGUCGCGUCUGCCGUGAAAUCCUCUGGCUUAACUGGGGGCGUGCGGUGGGUACGGGCUGACUUGAGUGCGGUAGGGGAGACUGGAACUCCUGGUGUAGCGGUGGAAUGCGCAGAUAUCAGGAAGAACACCGGUGGCGAAGGCGGGUCUCUGGGCCGUUACUGACGCUGAGGAGCGAAAGCGUGGGGAGCGAACAGGAUUAGAUACCCUGGUAGUCCACGCUGUAAACGUUGGGCACUAGGUGUGGGGGCCACCCGUGGUUUCUGCGCCGUAGCUAACGCUUUAAGUGC
rnacentral:rRNA from 1 species